ACGCGAUGCCGCAGUCGGGUCGCGGAUUCAACUACUCGCUGAACUCUCAGGAGAUCGUCAUGAG
rnacentral:sRNA from 1 species